CCACAGAUGCUCGUCACUGGUGGUUGAGGGUGACCGUGUGGGGACUUAAAUCCCAGGCACUUCCAAGCCACCCAAAGGUGGGCUGAGCAGGUCCUCAUGGGCACAGAGAAAGGCGACUGCAGAGAGAGGAGGAGUGGGCACGUGGGCCGGCAGGGUCAUCCUGUCAGGAGCUGUCCCUGCACUCGCGAGACCUACGGGUGGCCUGGGGCCCUGCCAGAUGCCAGCCCUGUCUUGCCAAUGUCCUCCCUGUCUCCUGAAGGUGUGGUGCCAAUGAACUGAAAGACGGAUUGAAAAUACUGUGAGAAGUUAGAAGUGCUAUUCAGGUGUACGUUAUUAGGUUAUUCUCUGAGGGACUUUUAAAGUAAGAUCAACUGGGGACAGCAGUGCAAGUGAAGGAAGAGUAAAUGAUGCCCAGAUGGAGAGAAGAACAUAGGAGCUGUCUAUGCAUUUCCAGAAGGAGGCGAGGUGCUCUGUGGGACGCUGUCAUGUUUGUAUCCACCUAGGAGGCUACUCACGGACCAGGUCUAACUGAUGGACCACCCACCUGGCAGCGUCGCUGUCACUCACCCAGGAGAGUGGGAGGCGAGACCGGCACUCCCAGGGUCCAGGUCUCCUUCCUGUGCCGGACCGGUGGGGGCUGGGGCUUCCCUGCCUCCCUGCGAGUGGGCAUGGCUGUGAGACCUGCUGUGGCCUAUGAGGCUGGCUGAGGGUCACCAGCAGGGUCUCCGAGCAGAGGUGAUGUGCUGCUUUGUGGCGGAAGCACUCCACGCGGUGCAUUCGUUCUUCCCCCAGCGAUGGUGGAAGUGAUCGGGAGGUGGAAGAGCCGGUGGAAGAGUGUUGAUCCUGUCCAUUCCUCAGUGUCCAGCCUCCGGCAAGAAGCUUCCAUGGAAGCCUCGUGUUUAAAAGGGGGCAGGCGCGACCCAGCCCUCCCACAGGGUUCUGGGAACCCAGAGAGCUGGGUGCUGUGGUCUCAAUGUUUGUGUCGCCAAAAAUUCCUGUGUUGAAACCUAAUCCCCCGUGGGAGUGCUUUGGAACGGGGCCUUCAGGAGGUGACUCAGUCCUGCUCCAGGGCCUUGUGAUGGGGUUUGGGCCUGAGAAAAGGGAGUCCAGAGAGCCAGCUCGCCCCAUCCACCAUGUGAGGAGGAGCCCUGUCUGUGAGCCAGGAAGCCCCACCAGACACGGAAGCUGCCGGCGCCUUGAUGCUGGACUUCAGCCUCCAGAUCUGUGAGAAACCAGUUUCUUGUCUGUAAGCCGUUGGUGGAAUUUUGUUAUUGCAGCCCGGACAGAUGAGCAUGCUGCGUGGAGGCAGAGCCUGCUUCCCAGCCGUGUUUGUGUCCGUACGUCUCCCACCAGCCCAGCCUGCAGCGGGCACUCGGCCAGCGAAGGCAGACCAGCACCUCCGUGCCUGCUCAUGAGAGGAGGCCCGCCUCCUGCUUGCUCACCCCUUUUAAGGCCAAGCUCCCAUUUUGCUCUGUGGACUUUGCUGAACGGUCCUGCCCAAGAGAACCCUCAGCACCUCUGGCACUGGAGUGUGGGACAAGUUUGACACUGGAUUUUUCUAGAAAUACACGUUCAGCGAAGGGCAGAUGUGAAGUCAGUGGUCACACAGGCUCCUGGUAACCACAGAGCCCUGCAACAAAUGGUAACCAAGCAGCCCUAGGGCAAACGGCGUGGCUCGCCACAAGCCAUCUCGAAACUCAACGCCAAGACAUAUUUCUGAAUAUUAAAUAUGCAAAAAAAAGUUGUACAACCGUGUGCAAAAUACGUUUCCAUUUAAGUAAAAAACAUAAAUCUAAGCACGUUUUUCGAAGCCACCGUAUUUAGGUAACUUUGUAAGAAAAGUUCUGCAGCAACACACUGCAAGACAGUGGUUGUUUUUACUUCUCAAGGAGAGGGGAGAACAGACAGGUGGGAGUGAAAUGUGAGGUUCCCUUUCUGUGGGUUUUAAUUUUGUUGAGGAGUUGUGUUUAUAUCUUACUUUUAUAUUGAUACCUAGAAAAACAUAAAAAUUCGUCAACAAUAUGCUUUGCCAAAAUAAUCUGAGCAAUGAAACAACUGUCAAGGAAAAGUGAAGUCCCUGCCCACCCACUCCACGCCCUCCCGUUUGCCAGUCAGGCUCAGCCCCUUCUCUGGGGCUUCCUUCCCAUCGCAGCCACUCACCAUUUUUUCCGCUUACUCAGAUUGACCAUGUGUCUCCCACACACAGAGAUGAUUCUCAGCCCCAUGGAGCUCGUUUCCAGGCCUUGGAGAAGAGGAGCUGAGGGCCCCGCCAGGAAGCUCUGGGCAGAGGCUUGUGCCCAGGAAGAGCCCAGCCUCAGGGCCCUGCUCUCCAGCUGGGGCUGCAGCUGCCUUCCUUUCCCAUCUUGCUGGUGUUAAACAGAGUUCAUGGGAAUUACUGAGCUGGAUUCCAGCGCUUCCUGCCAGGAGGCAGCUCCCCUGGGAAACCUCCUGCCCCCCAACCCGAGAUGGCUGCACGGUUGCUUCUCCCGCAGCUGGCUGCUGCGUUCAUUCUCUUUUUCUUCCUUUUGGGACUGCAGGCUCACCAGCUCACCCAGCACAUAACCCGGUAAAUACUUGAACUAGUAUCACCUGUUGCUGAGCAUGUCUUUAAUCUUAAAAGGAUGGAGUGGAAUCCACGUUCUGCCUCAUUACCACGUUGGCGUGUCUGAGCUUCAGUGUGGCCAACUGCAUCAAAUGAUGGUCUCCUCCACAAGUCCAUGGCUGGGCCACUGCCAGUUGUUGUUGAUAAAGUUUUAUUGGCACACGCCCCCUCGCUCAUUUAUGCAUCCUGUGGUCUGUGUGUGUUUCCUGCUGCCACAGCAGAGUUGAGUCAUUGCCUCAGAGCACAGAAAGGUUUUGCUCUCGGGCUCUUUGCAGAAAGCAUUUACCAACCCACUUCUAUUCUAGGACAUUCACCGCAGCAAGUGAACCCUCUGCCAUCAGAGCUAUGCUGUGUGCAGCUGUGUGUGAGCAAGGGUAAUUCCACUCUGAAAGCCGUGUGUGCAGAGAUUUGGGGAGCCCUGAGACUCUCAUUUCUGCUCUAAAGACCUUUGAACAACCGUUACUUAUUUUUAAAAGUCAAAAAGUUUAACUAGGCCAGGCACAGUGGCUCAUGCCUGUAAUCCCAGCACUUUGGGAGGCCAAGGCGUGGGGGUUCACUUGAGGUUAGGCGUUGGAGAUCAGCCUGGCCAACAUGGUGAAACCUUUUCUCUACUAAAAAUACAAAAAAAAAAAAAAAUCAGCCGGUCAUGGUGGUGGGCACCUGUAAUCCCAGCUACUCAGGAGGCUGAGGUGGGAGAAUUGCUUGAAACCAGGAAGUGGAGGUUGCAGUGAGCCAAGAUCACACCACUGCACUCUAGCCUGUAGGACAGAGCAAAAUUCGGUCUCAAAAAAAACAAAAACAAAAGGAUAAAUAAAAAGAAGAUUUAGAGAAGAUGCCAUAGUCUCUCCUUCCUCCCUAUUGGGAGCAACACUCGUAUGUUCACAUCACAUCACACCUUGCACAUGUGCACGUGUUCUGCACAUGUGUCUUGGACUGCCUGGACGCAGUCCCAGGCAGGAUGACACUCUCCUUCCCUUCAUUACUCAAAUUAUUUUUGACUUGUGUUGUUGCAAAAUUUAAAUCUUGAAAGAAUGUGCUCUCCC
rnacentral:lncRNA from 1 species